rnacentral:tRNA from 1 species
GGGCAGAUGGCGGAACUGGUAGACGCGCUGGACUCAAAAUCCUGUUCCAGUAAUGGAGUGAGGGUUCGAUUCCCUCUCUGCCCACCA